GUUCCUUCGGGGACAUCCAAUAAAACUGGAACACGAUACAGAAAAGAUUAGCAUGGCCCCUGCGGAAGGAUGAUCGAGAAAAUGCUGUAUAAAAUAAAAAACAUGU